UAUUUAACGUUUAUUUAACAUUAUAUGGGGUACUUUUACUUUGCCUCAAAGUUCAAGUACGCAUUUUCGCAGCCAGCCUUCUUUAAAUUCGUGUCGUCCAAUGGGAUUAUAGCCCGCGCGGUGCAUUUUAUGCGCGCAAAGUUGAUAUUGUGCACGAGCACGACGGUUAUUCCAUAUCAUGGCUGUCUCACUUCUGACGCUGUCGACGGAGGAUCUUCUUCAAAAAUUGAAAGAAGCUGGAAUACAUGUCACUGAAGACGAAGCACAGAAAUUCAGAGAAAAUGAGGUGGAUGGGGAAACAGUAGAGUGUGGUCUCACGGAGAACAUGAUCUCACAUUUAUUUCAAGGCUCCUUUAAAAAACAGGCCAAGUUUAACAAAUUUGUACACAAGAUGGAGGUGGUAACAAUAACACUAUAACCAGUGCCAGCAGAAUCCUAUCAACAAACUUUGACUACAGAAAUGCGGUUGCUGUCAUUGGUGAGGAUGCAUCCUCUGUUGAGGGUCAUGUGAAUGUCCUGCAUAUCCAGUACAGCAAAGUGCGACCAGAUACCUUGGUGGUCAAAGACCGAAUGUAGCGAAAGUUUGCGUGGCGAA